UACGUAGGGGGCGAGCGUUAUCCGGAAUCAUUGGGCGUAAAGCGCGUGUAGGCGGUUCCGUAAGUCCGCUCUGAAAGCCCAGGGCUCAACCCUGGGAGGCGGGUGGAUACUACGGAACUGGAGUACGGAAGAGGAGAUUGGAAUUCCUGGUGUAGCGGUGAAAUGCGCAGAUAUCAGGAGGAACACCAACAGCGAAGGCAGAUCUCUGGGACGUUACUGACGCUGAGACGCGAAAGCGUUGGGAGCAAACAGG
rnacentral:rRNA from 1 species